rnacentral:rRNA from 1 species
GUCCAGUCAUCAUGUCCCUUAUGUCCAGGGCUACACAGACGCUACAAUGGCUACUACAAUGGGCUGCCAAACCGCGAGGUGGAGCUAAUCCCAUCAAAAGUAGUCUCAGUUCGGAUUGUAGGCUGCAACUCGCCUACAUGAAGUCGGAAUUGCUAGUAAUCGCGUAUCAGCAUGGCGCGGUGAAUACGUUCUCGGGUCUU